rnacentral:rRNA from 1 species
AGGAUAAACGCUGGCGGCGUGCCUAACACAUGCAAGUCGAACGCCCUACGCAAGUAGGGAGUGGCGGACGGGUGAGGAACACGUGGGUAAUCUGCCCUUCGGUGAGGAAUACCGGCGAGAAAUCGCCGACAAUACCGCAUACGUUUCACGGAAGUGAAAGAAAGUCGUAAGACGCCGAGGGAUGAGCCUGCGCCCGAUUAGUUUGUUGGUGGGGUAAAAGCCUACCAAGACUACAAUCGGUAGCU